rnacentral:lncRNA from 1 species
GUCUAAUGUCAGUACCCCUCAAACUGGUGUGGCAAAACUGGCUGGAAAAAGAGGCAUAGCAUAUAAGGCCGCUGGAUGGAGAAGUGGGCGGGACUUGUGAAUUUCAAGUUCCGGGUGCCAGAUAACUCUCAGGACCCAUAUGUAGACUAUCUCACUAGCUCUCACGAGAUAUGGCAGGCAUUGACGAGAUCGGACGCCAUGAUACUGUGCUAUUGUGAGGCAUCUAGAAUACUUUUAUUUUACAUUUUUAACUUUUUCUUUUUUUUUUUUGGUACUGGGGAUCAAACUCAUGACCUUGCACUUACUUGCAAGGAAGGCGCUGGUGCCACUGAGCUAAAUUCCCAGCCCCUUGGUGAGACAUUUUUAAAGGAACUACCCCACAUUUUGGCCACCAGCCAUGAGAGUAAAGCAAGUAUCAGAGAUCAAGAUUAAAGCUAGCACCACCUGAAUUGUUUGAAGAACAAGAUCGCCCAAAAGGAAAAAGCUACUCCUGUGAGCCUCUGGAAGACCUGAGAUAUCUUUUUAAAAAGCAAGCCUGCAGUCCAGCUACAAGCAAGAAAACAAGAUUUUGCUAAGGCCCCAAUUCUAAGACUCUUGGCAUCUGACAUACCCCUAACAUACAUUCUUCUGUACAGAAAAUGAGGAGAUCUGACCUGCUCCUCACAUUUGGGGUAAUGGUAAAGUUUCUUUCUCCCAUUACACAGGCAGCUUGGUGAUCACUAACUCUUCUAAUUAUUUUCGGACAGGUUUUUCUGCUGUCAACCCAGCCAGUGAGCCACAAUACCCCAAGGUAGCUGGAGGUUACAGUUGAUCACUAAAAUUCAUGGGGGUUACAUUCCUAGAACACCUG